rnacentral:rRNA from 1 species
AUUGAACGCUGGCGGCAGGCUUAACACAUGCAAGUCGAGCGGGCGAGGUUGCUUCGGUGACUGAGCUAGCGGCGGACGGGUGAGUAAAGCUUAGGAAUCUGCCUAUUAGUGGGGGACAACAUUUCGAAAGGGAUGCUAAUACCGCAUACGUCCUACGGGAGAAAGCAGGGGACCUUCGGGCCUUGCGCUAAUAGAUGAGCCUAAGUCGGAUUAGCUAGUUGGUGGGGUAAAGGCCUACCAAGGCGACGAUCUGUAGCGGGUCUGAGAGGAUGAUCCGCCACACUGGGACUGAGACACGGCCCAGACUCCUACGGGAGGCAGCAGUGGGGAAUAUUGGACAAUGGGGGGAACCCUGAUCCAGCCAUGCCGCGUGUGUGAAGAAGGCCUUUUGGUUGUAAAGCACUUUAAGUGGGGAGGAGGCUCUCUUGGUUAAUACCUAAGAAGAGUGGACGUUACCCACAGAAUAAGCACCGGCUAACUCUGUGCCAGCCGCCGCGGUAAUAC